CAAUAGCGUAUAUUAAAGUUGUUGCGGUAAAAAAGCUCGUAGUUGGAUUUCUACCGAAGAUAGCCGGUCGGGUCUUCGACCUUGUAUCUGGUUUUGUCUUUGGUAUCCUCAUAGGGAACGUUUCUGCGCUUUAUUGCGUGGUGCGGUAUCUAUGACUUUUACUUUGAGGAAAUUAGAGUGUUCACGGCAGGCAAACGCCCUGAAUAUAUUAGCAUGGAAUAAUAACAUAGGAUCUUCGUCCUAUUUUGUUGGUUUCUAGGGCUAAGAUAAUGAUUAAUAGGGAUAAUUGGGGGCAUCUGUAUCAACGCGUCAGAGGUGGAAUUCUUGGAUUGCGUUGCGACAAACUACUGCGAAAGCAUUUGCCAAGGAUGUUUUCAUUGA
rnacentral:rRNA from 1 species